rnacentral:rRNA from 1 species
GAUGAACGCUAGCGGCAGGCCUAACACAUGCAAGUCGAGGGGUAACAGGGUAGCAAUAUCGCUGACGACCGGCGCACGGGUGAGUAACACGUAUGCAACCUUCCUUUAACUGGGGGAUAGCCCGGAGAAAUUCGGAUUAAUACCCCAUAAUAUCACAGAAAGGCAUCUUUUUGUGAUUAAAGCCCCGGCGGUUAAAGAUGAGUAUGCGGGUGAUUAGCUAGUUGGUGAGGUAACGGCUCACCAAGGCAACGAUCACUAGGGGAUCUGAGAGGACUACCCCCCACACUGGUACUGAGACACGGACCAGACUCCUACGGGAGGCAGCAGUAAGGAAUAUUGGACAAUGGAGGCAACUCUGAUCCAGCCAUGCCGCGUGCAGGAUGAAGGCCCUAUGGGUCGUAAACUGCUUUUGUACGAGAGAAAACCUAUUUACGUGUAGAUAGUUGAUGGUAUCGUAAGAAUAAGGAUCGGCUAACUUCGUGCCAGCCGCCGCAGUAAGAC